CGCGGACAACGGCGAGGACGCGCCGCGCGCCGCCGCGCGCGCCCGCUUCCUGCCCGAGGAGGAGCGGCGCCGCCUGGAGCCAGAUGAUGAUGAUGAUGAUCAAGAUGAUGAACCAGCCUCUGCUAAGAAACGUAAACUAGUCCCUGGGGAGCAGAGAAAGAGGAAGAAGCUCUGAGCAGGGUGGGCUGCUGUGGCCACAAGGAGAGUUUCAGUGAACUGGAUUCCGCUGCUGGAAUGGGAAACAAGUACAUGUUUGCCAAACCUCUCUCUCCCGUCGGGCAGAGAAUUUUACUUCUGUAGUAUGCUUGCUUUUUGGAAAGCACAAAAUUAAAUGGACAGUCUUGUGGUAGAAACUGGUCUACCGAAAAGAACCUUCAACCUGUUUAUUUAACAAAGGUCUCAAACCCUUGCGAUGGAAGCUUGUGCUCAUGCAGGUUACAGGGCUUUGUGGGGUUUUCUCUAUCGACACCCCUGAGAACGUGUGGUAUGAGCUUUCCUUGACUGACUUUUCCUUUGUGUCACACCUUUUAUAAAGGAGCAUAUUAUAAGGAGUCUUUAAGUAUUGUACUGUGAAUACUGCUGUUUGGAUAAUGCUGUUUUGCAAUUUAUGUAAAGACUGUAAAUACAUCACUGGAAUAAAAUUACAUUUGAAAACGUUUUCAGUUGAACUGUUGCAUUGCAUGCCUAAUGAUCAGGAGGGGUGAAYUCUCUCCCAUUUGUAUUUCA